AACGAACGCUGGCGGCAGGCUUAACACAUGCAAGUCGAGCGCCCCGCCAGGGGAGCGGCAGCCGGGUGAGUAACGCGUGGGAACGUACCUUUUGGUUCGGAACAACUCCGGGAAACUGGAGCUAAUACCGGAUAAGCCCUAACGGGGAAAGAUUUAUCGCCGAAAGAUCGGCCCGCGUCUGAUUAGCUAGUUGGUGAGGUAACGGCUCACCAAGGCGACGAUCAGUAGCUGGUCUGAGAGGAUGAUCAGCCACACUGGGACUGAGACACGGCCCAGACUCCUACGGGAGGCAGCAGUGGGGAAUAUUGGACAAUGGGCGCAAGCCUGAUCCAGCCAUGCCGCGUGAGUGAUGAAGGCCUUAGGGUUGUAAAGCUCUUUUGUCCGGGAAGAUAAUGACUGUACCGGAAGAAUAAGCCCCGGCUAACUUCGU
rnacentral:rRNA from 1 species